rfam:Triticum aestivum genome assembly, contig: Triticum_aestivum_CS42_TGACv1_scaffold_057614_1BS
GGAUGCGAUCAUACCAGCACUAAAGCACCGGAUCCCAUCAGAACUCCGAAGUUAAGCGUGCUUGGGCGAGAGUAGUACUAGGAUGGGUGACCUCCUGGGAAGUCCUUGUGUUGCAUUCC